rnacentral:misc_RNA from 1 species
ACUCUUCAACCCACCAGUUUCUUGUAAAUUGGAUUAGUGUUUGGAUUUUGAGUGUUGCUAUUCCUAGUUGAAUCAGCUCAUUCGUAAUAUAUUAGCAUCUCUAAUUCGAACUCGGAUUGACUCAGUGUAAUAGACUAUUCGCUGAGGACACGCUCUUUGUAGUGUGGCCGAAUGAGAUCUCAGUAGAAGCUUCCAACUACUUUAGUCAACUUUAG